GGUAAAGUGAAUUUACACAUAUAUUCAUUUUGCUCUGUUUCCUGGUAAGUGAAAGUAGCGAAUAUGAUGUAAUGUAUAAUUAUUUGUAAAAAUAUUAUUAUUAGCGGGGGAUAUAUUAAAUCAGGCAUAGACCUGAUUUUCUUAUUAUUCACAUAACACUCAAUUAUUAUUGGGGAUAUUCAGUUAUCCCCCUCUUUAAAGGUGGCUGGUAACGCGUCGAUACAAGAGAUAUUGCUCUAUAAACAGUAACGUCGUUAUCUGUCAUGCCACCGUGGGUUAGCGGUCAUGGUUAACCAAAUAGGGCAGGUUAUUGCAAAGAGACAUCCGCGUUUAUACCCAAAAUAAUCCGUAGCCAACACAUAAGCAACUUGAAGUAUGAAGGGUAUAUGUCUGAUGGAAAAUCGUCCCUGGUGAGUAGGGUAAUGGCGCCGGAGGGGCUCCGGCGCUUUUU
rnacentral:sRNA from 2 species